rnacentral:rRNA from 1 species
CCCUUAGAUGUUCUGGGCCGCACGCGCGCUACACUGAACAGUUCAACAAGUCUUAACCUUGGCCGAUAGGUCUGGGUAAUCUUUGAACGCUGUUCGUGAUUGGGAUAGACCUUUGCAAUUAUGGGUCUUCAACGAGGAAUUCCUAGUAAACGCAAGUCAUCAGCUUGCAUUGAUUACGUCCCUGCCCUUUGUACACACCGCCCGUCGCACCUACCGAUUGAAUGGUCCGGUGAAAUCUCGGGACGGCGGCUUGGUCGCUUGCGUCCGACUGCUGAAACUUGAUUAAACCAUAUCAUUUAGGGGAAGGUGAAGUCGUAACA